rnacentral:lncRNA from 1 species
UAACGCUGUCCCAAUGCAUCCUGAGGGCCAUAGGUUGGACAAGCUUUUUCUAUGUAAUCAAGAAAUAAAAUUUGUUUUGCUUAUGCCAUUUAGUUUUGUGGGUUUUUUUUUCUGCCACAUAUGUAGCUAAACCUAGUCCUAAUUAUGUCAAAGAUUUUAUUUGAAUGUCUUUUGUCUACCUGGCAAAAUCUUAUUUAUUCUUCAACACUCAACUCAGUAUAAACUAACUACUUUCUUGUCUUCUCCACGAUAGAACUAUUCACUCUCCUAUUUCUUGUUUAAAGUAUUGUUUGCAGCCAUCUUUUCCAGCACAUAUAUAUCUAUAUAUUUUUUUUUUCUGAUGCAGUCUUACUCUGUUGUCUAGGCUGGAGUGCAAUGGCACGAUCUUGGCUCACUGCAACCUCUGCCUCCUGGGUUCAAGUGAUUCUCCUGCCUCAGCCUCCUGAGUAGCUGGGAUUACAGGUAUGCACUACCAUGCCCGGUUAUUUUUUGUGUCUUUUAAGUAGAGACAGGGUUUCACCAUGUUGACCAGGCUGGUCUUGAAUUCCUGAACUCAGGUGAUCCACCUGCCACAGCCUCACUUACAGGCGUGAGCCACCAUGCCCAGCCUCCAGCACAUCUUAUAUUAUGUUAUAUUAAUGGCUUAUAUCAUGUCACCUUUGCCUGUCAGUGAACUACAUGAGGAUAGAGACGUUAUUUAUCUGUGUAUAUCUGGUCUUACAACAGUGCCAGAUAAAAUGGUAGAUAUCCAAAGCUAACUUGAACGUUUACUUUUUUUUUUUUUUUUUUUUGAGACAGGGUCUUGCUCUGCCCCUCAGGCUACAGUGCAAUGGCACCAUGAUGACUCCCUGCAGACUGGACCUUCUGGCCUCAAGUAAUCCUCCCACCUGGCCUCCCAAGUAGCUUGGACUACAGGUGCGUGCCACCGUGUCUGACUACUUUUUAAUUUUUUUUUGUAGAUAUGAGCUCUCACUAUGUUGCCCAGGGUGGUCUUGAACCCCUGGGCUCAAGUGAUCCUCCUGCCUUGGCCUGCCAAAGUGCUGAGAUUAUAGGCGCCUGCCACUGCGCCCGGCUAAUUUUUUUUUUUUUUGUAUUUUUAGUAGAGACGGGGUUUCACUGUGGUCUCGAUCUCCUGACCUUGUGAUCCACCCGCCUCAGCCUCCCAAAGUGCUGGGAUUACAGGCGUGAGCCACCGCGCCCAGCCUAUUCCUUAACUCUUAACAGCAAAGGCCCUACGUCUAACCCCAGAGAGUUUUAUUUUACAUUUAAUUUAUUUGAGUGCUU